UUAUAACACCAAUUCCCGUACGGUCACUGAAGUUAAGCAACGUCAAGCCUGGUCAGUACUUAGAUGGGUGACCGCUUGAGAAUUACCAGGUGCGGUAA